UGGCUCAGAACGAACGCUGGCGGCAGGCUUAACACAUGCAAGUCGAACGCCCCGCAAGGGGAGUGGCAGACGGGUGAGUAACGCGUGGGAAUCUACCGUGCCCUGCGGAAUAGCUCCGGGAAACUGGAAUUAAUACCGCAUACGCCCUACGGGGGAAAGAUUUAUCGGGGUAUGAUGAGCCCGCGUUGGAUUAGCUAGUUGGUGGGGUAAAGGCCUACCAAGGCGACGAUCCAUAGCUGGUCUGAGAGGAUGAUCAGCCACAUUGGGACUGAGACACGGCCCAAACUCCUACGGGAGGCAGCAGUGGGGAAUAUUGGACAAUGGGCGCAAGCCUGAUCCAGCCAUGCCGCGUGAGUGAUGAAGGCCUUAGGGUUGUAAAGCUCUUUCACCGGAGAAGAUAAUG
rnacentral:rRNA from 1 species